rnacentral:rRNA from 1 species
AUUGAACGCUGGCGGCAUGCCUUACACAUGCAAGUCGAACGGCAGCGGGGACUUCGGUCCGCCGGCGAGUGGCGAACGGGUGAGUAAUGUAUCGGAACGUACCUUUCAGUGGGGGAUAACGUAGCGAAAGUUACGCUAAUACCGCAUAUUCUCUGAGGAGGAAAGCAGGGGACCUUCGGGCCUUGUGCUGAUGGAGCGGCCGAUAUCAGAUUAGCUAGUUGGUGAGGUAAAGGCUCACCAAGGCGACGAUCUGUAGCGGGGCUGAGAGGAUGAUCCGCCACCCUGGGACGGAGACACGGCCCAGACUCCUACGGGAGGCAGCAGUGGGGAAUUUUGGACAAUGGGCGCAAGCCUGAUCCAGCCAUGCCGCAUGAGUGAAGAAGGCGUUCGGGUUGUAAAGCUCUUUCGGACGGGAAGAAAUUGGUGGGGCUAAUAUCCCCAUCGGAUGACGGUACCGUAAUAAGAAGCACCGGCUAACUACGUGCCAGCCGCCGCGGUAAAAC